AUGCCAGUAAAGGAAUCGAGUGUCGUCUUUGCUUUGGCCGCCAGUGGCAAAGGAAAGAGAGCAGACAAGGCAGAUGGUGGUCGCUUCUUCUUCACCAUCGUCGCCGGCCGCCGGCGGAAGCACCCACCCGACCUACAACAAGGCCAGCUUCCUCUGGCCACUCACGAAGCUGAGGCUGCAAGGCACCUCCGGCCACUCCGCCAUCAGCAACUAACUCGCCGGCCGCUGCACCGGCCUCCCCAUCAGCCACGACGUUCUCCUGCCCGCCAACCUGCGCCGCCUCGUACGUCUUCUGCGCCCUCGCCAGGCCAGGACCAGAAGCGGGAUGUGGCCUCCGCAAGCAGUUGCAGAGGAAAGAUCGUGGGCGGAGGGUUCGAGCGGCAUAGUUGGUGGUAA
rnacentral:rRNA from 1 species